AUGAAACAUAAAUCUGUCGAAUAAUAUACGAUACUCUGAUUGGUUGAAGACUGAAUGUCUUCGGUGACGUAGUUAUUUUAUCAACCAAUGAACAACAAGCGUACUAAUCGUCGAAUUUUUGUUUUGAUUGCAGAUCUGGCUGGAAAAACACACGUGGAGAAUUAUCACACAUGUACAUCGAGUAAGUAUGAAAUUGUUACACUAAUUGAUAUAUUAAUUAAUCACUUGAUUAAUAAUGACGUUGAUGUUUUGCAGGUGGAUCAUCGAGCGAAGAAUGCUGCAAAAUCGAAUCUUUGGCCAAUGAAUCCGAACCCAAGUAAUUGAUAAGUCCAAGAACUAUUUCCAGUAUAGUAUGUUGGGUUUGUGAUACUAAAUUCUCUACAGAUCCAAAUGGAGGAUUUUUAUCGAGAAUACGUUCAAUCUGGUGUACGUAUCGAACAGAAAUGCCUUUCGUUUGUCUUGACACGUCGUAACGAAGCCAGGAUCUGAAUUUAUAUGCGAUGGAUGCGGUAUUACCAACGAAGGAAGGAGCUGCCAUUCAUCUGCAAUACCUACGUUUCCUGUCGAUAAUAAGAUUCUCUUCGGAUAUCGUAUUCCAGCAGUUUUGAGAUUUUGCAAUAGAAUUUUACCGGAUGCAAACUGAUCAAGGAAGAUGUUUCGUGAAAUCGAGUCGGAUAAUGAACGGGCGUUGUGCGCUAUGCCGAAACACAACCCGUCACCUAUCAUAAGAUGACUUUGAAAGAAAUAAACUAAUUCCGGCAGCUCCCUAGAAUUAGCGAUAUUACCAGUAACAACAUAAUGGGUAUCGUCCGAUACAGCAGUGACAAUAUCCACGAUUUCAUCAGGGACACAUCGAUCAAUCGAAGUUGGUAAGACGUCCAAUAAUUCGCGAUAAGUGGGUGGAUCUAUCACCGCAUCAUUUUUAAUCAAAAAGGCUCACGGAGUUAAUCGCCUUGGUCGUCGAGAUACCGCUGAGACUUUUGCUUACCGAAGAUCGACGAUUCUUCUUGAAACGUGGAUUUCUGCUUUUGCCAUUGUCGUCGGUCUGAUUGAUAUUGAUAUUCAAACUGUUACGAGAUGAAUGAACGAUCGAUCGAUGAUUAUUAGUCGAUUCCGGAGUCAAUGAUAAUGAGCGCUUUUUCGAUGGAUUACGUUCGUAUACUUGUUCAAAAUUCAGCUCAUCAUAGUCAGAAACUUCGGAUGAUAAAGGCU